rnacentral:rRNA from 2 species
UGGGGAAUAUUGGACAAUGGGCGCAAGCCUGAUCCAGCCAUGCCGCGUGAGUGAUGAAGGCCCUAGGGUUGUAAAGCUCUUUCGGCGGGGACGAUAAUGACGGUACCCGCAGAAGAAGCCCCGGCUAACUUCGUGCCAGCAGCCGCGGUAAUACGAAGGGGGCUAGCGUUGCUCGGAAUCACUGGGCGUAAAGGGCGCGUAGGCGGAUCCUUAAGUCAGGGGUGAAAGCCCAGGGCUCAACCCUGGAAUUGCCUUUGAUACUGAGGAUCUCGAGACCGGAAGAGGUGAGUGGAACUGCGAGUGUAGAGGUGAAAUUCGUAGAUAUUCGCAAGAACACCAGUGGCGAAGGCGGCUCACUGGUCCGGUUCUGACGCUGAGGCGCGAAAGCGUGGGGAGCAAACAGGAUUAGAUACCCUGGUAGUCCACGCUGUAAACGAUGGAUGCUAGCCGUUGGCGCGCUUGCGCGUCAGUGGCGCCGUUAACACUUUAAGCAUCCCGCCUGGGGAGUACGGUCGCAAGAUUAA